CAUUAGCUCAUGAGUCUCAUAACAGCUAGCACGCAUUUUAGAAGUCUGUUUAUACCCUGCAGUAGAACAAGCUACUGCAUGUCAGCUGCUAUGUUACAGAUGGCCUCAUUUUAAGUCUAGUUCACUGGCCCAGACCUUCCUUUGUGUGUUACAGGUUCAGUGUGUGCAGUGCUGUCAGGAGCACUCUCACCUGUGGUCGACAGUGUUCCUGCCCGAGCCCCCGUUUUGUAAAGCGGAGAGUGGUAAAGUGUGGGGCUUGGCUCGUAGUUCUGUUGUGGUUCAAAGUGCACCACAGGCAGCAUUGGGUUCAUCUGUCCGGGCAGCGCAUCUUCUAUCACCAUCUCGUUAUCAUCCCAUCGAGAAGCGUCCAUGAACAUGCCGUGAACCAGGACGCCGUCCUCUGGAGAGGGUAGCUGAAAGACACCCAAAAGUUGUCAGGAUGCUGACAUGGCGAUUCCCCUGGGAAACCUGUAAAUGGGCUUCAGACUGUCUGCCAUCAUGGGGCUACCCUGGCUUCCUUUCCAUGCAGACAACCCGGCGAUUGACACCUGAGUCUGAAUCAGUUCUAGAGUUGCUUGCACAUCGUGUUGGGAGAUGCGGUCCUCAGGAUCAGGUCUUUGACCCAUGAUCCUAGUGGCUUCAGGGACGGGUAGGCCGUGUUGGACCACAGAGAGGGAACCUGGUUGUUGAGGAAGCUGUUAUACACCUUCUCCAUUUCUUCAGACAUCACCACCAGUCCAGCAAUAGCUUUGUUGAGUGUUUCCAGAGAGAUCUGAAAGAACAAAGUAUUGGUAAUGAUCAAGUGCCCGAGGCUCUAUCUGAAGCAAAAGGAAACUGGUUGCAGAGGCCUGUUUUGCAAUGCAGGGAGAACCCAGUCAGCAAGCAGGGGCCCUCAAGGUCAGUCUAGGGUGGACAGAUGUCACACUGCAGUUGGCACCCCUCAAAGGAGGCAGCUACUCUGCUGUGGAUUAGAAGGGAGAGAGGAUUUCAGAUGUUGGUUCUCCCCAGUGGCUGCAUAACAGAGUGGCCAGGUCCUCCCCAUCUGGAGGAAGGCUGAGUUCACUAGGACAGCGGACCCCGAGG